GAUGAACGCUGGCGGCGUGCCUAAUACAUGCAAGUCGAGCGAACAGACGAGGAGCUUGCUCCUCUGACGUUAGCGGCGGACGGGUGAGUAACACGUGGAUAACCUACCUAUAAGACUGGGAUAACUUCGGGAAACCGGAGCUAAUACCGGAUAAUAUAUUGAACCGCAUGGUUCAAUAGUGAAAGACGGUUUUGCUGUCACUUAUAGAUGGAUCCGCGCCGCAUUAGCCAGUUGGUAAGGCAACGGCUUACCAAGGCAACGAUGCGUAGCCGACCUGAGAGGGUGAUCGGCCACACUGGAACUGAGACACGGUCCAGACUCCUACGGGAGGCAGCAGUAGGGAAUCUUCCGCAAUGGGCGAAAGCCUGACGGAGCAACGCCGCGUGAGUGAUGAAGGUCUUCGGAUCGUAAAACUCUGUUAUUAGGGAAGAACAAAUGUGUAAGUAACUAUGCACGUCUUGACGGUACCUAAUCAGAAAGCCACGGCUAACUACGUG
rnacentral:rRNA from 1 species